rnacentral:rRNA from 1 species
CACGUAGGAGCCAAGCGUUAUCCGAAUUCACUGGGCGUAAAGCGCGUGUAGGCGGCUUGGUAAGUUGGAUGUGAAAGCUCCUGGCUCAACUGGGAGAGGACGUUCAAUACUGCCGGGCUAGAGGGCGACAGAGGGAGGUGGAAUUCCCGGUGUAGUGGUGAAAUGCGUAGAUAUCGGGAGGAACACCAGUGGCGAAAGCGGCCUCCUGGGUCGCACCUGACGCUCAGACGCGAAAGCUAGGGGAGCGAACGGGAUUAGAUACCCGGGUAGUCCCUGA